rnacentral:misc_RNA from 1 species
GAAUUGCGAUAUGUAAUGUGAAUUGCAGAUUUUCAGUGAAUCAUCGAAUCUUUGAACGCAUCUUGCGCUCCUUGGUAUUCCGAGGAGCAUGCCUGUUUGAGUGUCAUUAAAUUCUCAACUCCCUUUGAUUUCUUCAAGGGUGAGCUUGGAUUGUGGAGGCUUUGCUGGCUGUAAAGUCAGCUCCUCUGAAAUGCAUUGGCAAAGGUUGUGUGCAUGAAAUAUGGCCUUUCGGUGUGAUAAUGAUCACUGUGGGCUGGUUGCUUUAACACCUAUGUCCAACUUUUUCCAGCUGGAAAAAAAUGCUUGACAACUUGACCUCAAAUCAGGUAGGACUACCCGCUGAACUUAA